GAUGAACGCUGGCGGUAUGCUUAACACAUGCCAGUCGAACGGACUCUUCGGAGUUAGUGGCGGACGGGUGAGUAACGCGUGAGAAUCUGGCUUUGUGUUCGGGACAACCACUGGAAACGGUGGCUAAUACCGGUUGUGCCGUGAGGUAAAAGAAGAAUUGCCUGCAGAUGAGCUCGCGUCUGAUUAACUAGUUGGUGAGGUAUAGGCUCACCAAGGCAGCGAUCAGUAGCUCGUCUGAAAGGACGAACACCCACACUGGGACUGGGACACCGCCCACAAUCCCACAGGAGGAAGCAGUGAAAAAUUUACCGCAAUGGCCGAAAGCCUGACCACGCAAUACCGCGUGAGGGAAGAAGGCUCGUGGGUUGUAAACCUCUUUGCUUAGGGAAGAACAAAAUGACGGUACCUAAGGAAACAGCACCGGCUAACUCCGUG
rnacentral:rRNA from 1 species